ACCAAAGCCCCUGACGGUCUGGGAAGGAAUCAGUGUGGCCAAAAAUUACCAAUAAAAGGCACCAAAUGCAGCCGAAAUCCACCAGGUUUGGCCUAAAAAUCAGCCAAAGGGACCUCAAAUGCACACAAUAGUGGUCUACAAUCGUCCAAAUUUGCCUAACAUUGUCCGAAAGGGCCCUAAAAUCCUGUCUAAAAUCCCAUAUUGGCAUAAAAUCAGCCAAAUGGGCUUAAAAUCUCUGGAAGCAAGACGACGACCAACACCAGAACCAGCACCAGCACAAGUACUGAGACCAACAUCAGAACGGAGAACAAGACCAGAACUGGGAACAGAACCGACACCAGAACUGAGACCAGCACCGCUCCAGAACUGGAACUGAGACUGGGACCAAGACUGAGACUGGCCUCAGAAUUUCUGCUGGGCCAGGGGCUACAGCUGCCAUGGGGAGAUGUUCUCAGCUGCAGCCAUGGCCGCCCUGGCCCAGGAGCUGCUCCCCUGCCGGGCUGAGCUGCUGCAGGGGGGGCUGGGGGGGCCCAACCGGGGCCGGGUGCUGCGGCACCUGCUGCGGGGCAGAGCCCUGCUGGUGCCGUAUCCUUUGGGGCCACUGGGGUAACUGGGGUAACUGGGGUAACUGGGGCCAUUGGGGUCAUUGGGGUCACUGGGGUAACUGGGGUUACUGGGGCCACUGGGGUCAUUGGGGUUACUGGGGUCACUCACUGGGGUCAUUUGGGGUCACUAAGGUCACUGGGGUCAUUGGGGUGAUUUGGGUCACUGAGGUCAUUGGGGUCAUUGGGGUCAUUUGGGGUCACUGGGGUAAUUUGGGGUCACUGGGGUCAUUGGGGCUAUUUGGAGUCACUGGGGUCAUUUGGGGUCACUGGGGUCAUUGGGGUCAUUGGGGCUAUUUGGGGUCACUGGGGUCACUGGGGUCAUUUGGGGUCAUUGGGGUCACUGGAGUCAUUGGGGUCACUGGGAUCACUGGGGUCAUUUGGGUCAUUGGGGUCACUGAGGUCAUUGGGGUCACUGGGGUCAUUUGGGUCACUGAGGUAACUGGGGUCAUUGGGGUCAUUUGGGUCACUGGGGUCACUGGGGUCACUGGGGUCAUUGGGGUAAUUUGGGGUCAGGGUGUGGGGUUUGGGGUAUGGGCAGAGCCCUGCUGGUCCCGUAUCCUUUGGGGUCGUUUGGGGUCAGGAUUUGGGGUUUGGGGUGACCCCUGCUGGUCCCAUAUCCUGUGGGGUCAUUGGGGUGAUUGGGGUCAGAGUGUGGGGUUUGGGGUGGGCGCAGAGCUCUGCUGGUCCCGUAUCCUUAUUUGGGUUAAUUGGGGUCAUUGGGGUCAUGGGCGUCGUUUGGGUAGAGCCCUGCUUGUCCCGUAUCCUUUGGGGUUAUUGGGGUCAUUUGGGGUUGUUUGGGGUCAGGGUUUGGGGUUUGGGGCCUGGGGAGAGACCUGCUGGUCCCAUAUCCUUUGGGGUUAUUGGGGUCAUUUGGGGUCAUUUGGGGUCAGGGUUUGGGGUUUUGAAUUAUUUGGGGUUUGGGCAGAGCCUUGCUUGUUCUGUAUCCUUUGGGGUCAUUUAAGGUUAUUUGGGGUCAGGGUUUGGGGUGUGGGCAGAGCUCUGCUGGUCCCAUAUCCUUUGGAGUCAUUGGGGUCAUUUGGAGUCAUUUGGAGUCAGGGUAUGGGAUUUGGGGUGUGGUGUGUGAGCAGAGCCCUGCUGGUCCCGUAUCCUUUGGGGUUUUUAGGGUCAGGGUUUGGGGUUUGGGGAGACCCCUGCUCGUCCCAUAUCCUUCAAUGGUGUUUGGGGUUUUGGGUUAUUUGGGCUUUGGGGUUUGAGACCCCCUGCUGGUCCCGUAUCCUUUAGAGUUAUUUGGGGUCAGGAUUUGGGGUUUGGGGUUAUUUGGGGUUUGGGGUUUGGGGAGACCCCUGCUGGUUCCAUAUCCUUUGGGGUUAUUGGGGGUUAUUGGGGUCAUUUGGGGUCAGGGUUUGGGGUCUUGGGUCUGGGGUCUUUGCCCUUGACCACACAGCUAUGAUGAGGACAGCAACCACAGCCCGUGCUGCCGCCAGGGCCACAAGGCUCACUGGGCCCUGAUCAACGGUGAGAGAGGGGCCAAAAUAUCCCAAAAUGGGGGGGGGGGGGGGGGGGGGGGGGGGGGGGGGGGGGGGGGGG
rnacentral:lncRNA from 12 species